UUCCUUAAGGCACAGCCACCCUUCCUGGGCUCCCAUCUUGCCAAAUCUCUUACUCUGCGGUGCAUCACUGACUAAACACCUGAGCUCGCUGAAGUCAGACUUCCUAAAGGCCAGCACUACCUCCCU